rnacentral:lncRNA from 1 species
CCGGGGCUGCCGACGGAGGGCGGCUGGCGAGCGUCGUGGGGCGCGCUCCUCGGGUGGGAGCAUUGUAGUCUGGCUACUAGGGGAGGAGUUACACCCACCCUCUUCUGCUGCCAGCUCUGUGACAAAGAGAAAGCUGUAAGUUAUUCUCCAGCCUGCUGAAGAGUUUUGCAUAGUCCCCAGAAGCCUAACACUUUCAGCAGAAUUCCCCCUUUAUGUUGGAGUGAAAAAAAAAAAAAGGGGGCCUUGUUACAAACAAGAAAAAAGAAGAAGAAAAAGAAAUCUUGGACUGAGAAAAAUCUGCCAAUAAGCACAAAU